CAGUACAGUCAGUCUUAAAAACACUGUUUAAUAAUCACUGGUGGGUUUUAAGUUCAUUUUACAGGAAUCUUUCAGCUGACAUCACAGAUGCUUCUUACUGCUUUGGCCUCUUCAUCCAUCUGCCUCCAUUUGGAAUGCUGUUCUUAAAUAAAAAGGUUUCUGCUUUCCUGCUUCUCUUGAGCCGAGCCCGUGCCAGAACUCAGCAGUGAUAUAUUUGCACAUUCCUACCACAAAAACACGGGCCGCUAUCAUUUAUCGAAUCAC
rnacentral:lncRNA from 1 species